UACGUAGGGUGCAAGCGUUUAAUCGGAAUUACUGGGCGUAAAGCGUGCGCAGGCGGUUGUGCAAGACCGAUGUGAAAUCCCCGGGCUCAACCUGGGAAUUGCAUUUGUGACUGCACGGCUAGAGUGUGUCAGAGGGGGGUAGAAUUCCACGUGUAGCAGUGAAAUGCGUAGAGAUGUGGAGGAAUACCGAUGGCGAAGGCAGCCCCCUGGGAUAACACUGACGCUCAUGCACGAAAGCGUGGGGAGCAAACAGG
rnacentral:rRNA from 1 species